rnacentral:rRNA from 1 species
UACGUAGGGGGCAAGCGUUGUCCGGAAUCAUUGGGCGUAAAGCGCGUGUAGGCGGCCCGGUAAGUCCGCUGUGAAAGUCGGGGGCUCAACCCUCGGAUGCCGGUGGAUACUGUCGGGCUAGAGUGCGGGAGAGGCGAGUGGAAUUCCUGGUGUAGCGGUGAAAUGCGCAGAUAUCAGGAAGAACACCCGUGGCGAAGGCGGCUCUCUGGGACGGUACUGACGCUGAGACGCGAAAGCGUGGGGAGCGAACAGG